ACUACAAAAGAAAAUGGCGCUUGUUGUGCAGCACACGUGAGAACGUUUUCAAGUCUUUCAGGCGACGGGAAAAUGUCCCCAAAUUAAAUGUUUUUGAUGCACUUGGACAAGUUGGCAAGUUCCACAAGAAUUGUGGAACAUUUUGAUAAUGAAGACUGCAGAGCUGUCCGAUCUUCAUGGAUGGCUGUCACUCUGAGCAGAGAUGUCUCAAUAUAUCAAUGAUGAAGCCUCAGGGAGUUUCAAGCAAUCUGCUCUGACAACUCGAGCAACUUCACAUUUUAAAGAUCAGAAUCCAGACAGAGUGUUUGAUCUCAAAAGGAGUUGUUGAUCACUUAUUUAUUUAUUUAUUUAAUAACAAGAAAUUUAUGAUUGAGAAACAAUAGGAAAACACUUAGAGAAAGAAAGCAACAACAAAAAAGCAAACAUAAGCCUAGGGAUUGCCCAAAAGUGAACCAAUUCACUAUCCAAAGGACUCAAUCCCAAAUUGCAUACAGACAUCAGCAAUUAGCAAGCAUGCAAUAUCUAUUGCAUCUUGUUAUGGUUUUGGUUUGCUUAACCAUUGAUCAUUUUAAAAACACAGCACACAAUUUUGUAUAUUAUUGACCCUUUAAGCAAGAAACAACUACCUUCUGCUCAACGCUUGCGUCUAAAACAAAGCACAAAAUUGCGGUUAUAGCUCGUCUAUAUUUUGUAAGACAUUACAACAUUGAAGUAGAUAGUAAGCUGACAUCUAAUUGAAUUUCACUGAACAGAGAACUCAACCAUUGUACAUUGGGCCUUUAGGUCAUCACAAGUUCCCGGUGGCCGAGGGAAGUUCACCGACAGGCACAGGUGCCUGCACAACUCUGCUGUUUUUUG